rnacentral:lncRNA from 1 species
UUCGGGGCAUCGCAUUGGUCGCUUAACACAGCCGAGCAGGAUCUUGCGCAGUGGCGGCGGACACCUCGGGUGAUGUCGGCUGGCCGUCACUCUUGACAUCGGCCUCCGCUCGCAGACACACGGCGGAAUGGGAUCAGCGUGCGUGCAGUGAGGAGACGUCGGAAUGCACUUGUUUGUUGAACCUUCAUCCCAGUGAGCUGUCUGUUUGCAGCCUUACUGACAGACAGACACAACAUACUGUUGCAAACCAACCCCCUCAGUAUCCU